UCCUCUCUAAAGUUUCGGUUUUGCGAGACUUUGUUUCUCGCGCUGCUCUCCGUGUGAUUUCGCUUUUCGAAAGUCAUUUAUUGUGAAAAUGUGAGCGCCAUCGUAGAAACGACGUACAUAUGGUAAUGUGUUUCUGUCACGGCUGCGGCUCUCGCCGAACAGAAAGCAGCUCUGUCACGGGAACACGUUUUGUCGAAAGUUUCAACAAUCUCUUCGUGGACACAAUGACGCCUCUACGUUUCGCUGUUGUCUUCGUCCUCCUCUUUGGUGCAUUUGUCGCCAGUGAAGCUGCACCUGAAGGACACGAGCUUGAACGUCGUCAACUUGAGGUGGAACUCUGCGCUUGUCUUCCGAGUGUUACCGAUUGCCCUACCAAAAGUUGCACAGUGGCGAGCGGAUGUAUGAAAUGCGCCGAUGCCUCGCUAUGCCUUUGUAUUGAUGUCACUUGCCCUGGGAAAAGAUGCACAACGGCAAGCAAGUGUAAGACAUGCUCCAUCUAAGGAUGAACAACGUGGCUGACCGGCAACCGUUAACAACGAAACGAUCAAUUGCACGUAUAUGAAAUAAGAGACCCUGGUCUUUCCUUUUACUAACAUGGUCAUAGGUGGCGGGAACUUUUAAGGGCAAUAAAUUGUACUAAGCAGCAGA